rnacentral:rRNA from 1 species
CCUACGGGGGGCAGCAGUAGGGAAUAUUGCUCAAUGGGGGAAACCCUGAAGCAGCAACGCCGCGUGGAGGAUGAAGGUUUUCGGAUUGUAAACUCCUUUUGUUAGAGAAGAUAAUGACGGUAUCUAACGAAUAAGCACCGGCUAACUCCGUGCCAGCAGCCGCGGUAAUACGGAGGGUGCAAGCGUUACUCGGAAUCACUGGGCGUAAAGGGCGCGUAGGCGGGAUAGCAAGUCAGAUGUGAAAUCCUAGGGGUUAAACAUAGAACUGCAUUUGAAACUGUUAUUCUAGAGUAUGGGAGAGGUAGGUGGAAUGCUUGGUGUAGGGGUAAAAUCCGUAGAGAUCAAGAGGAAUACUCAUUGCGAAGGCGACCUGCGAGAACAUAACUGACGCUGAUGCGCGAAAGCGUGGGGAGCAAACAGGAUUAGAUACCCCUGUAGUC